rnacentral:rRNA from 1 species
AUUGAACGCUGGCGGUAGGCCUUACACAUGCAAGUCGAGCGGAGCGGCGGACGGGUGAGUAAUGCAUAGGAAUCUGCCUGGUAGUGGGGGAUAACGACCGGAAACGGGCGCUAAUACCGCAUACUAUCAGAUGAGCCUAGGUCGGAUUAGCUAGUUGGUGGGGUAAAGGACGACCAAGGCGACGAUCCGUAACUGGUCUGAGAGGAUGACCAGUCACAUUGGAACUGAGACACGGUCCAGACUCCUACGGGAGGAAGCAGUGGGUAAUAUGGGACAAUGGGCGAAAGCCUGAUCCAGCCAUGCCGCGUGUGUGAUGAAGGUCUGCGGAUUGUAAAGCACUUUUAGUUGGGAAGCGUUACCAACAGAAUAAGCACCGGCUAACUUCGUGCCAGCAGCCGCGGUAAUUC